UACGUAGGUGGCAAGCGUUAUCCGGAUUUAUUGGGCGUAAAGCGAGCGCAGGCGGUUGCUUAGGUCUGAUGUGAAAGCCUUCGGCUUAACCGAAGAAGUGCAUCGGAAACCGGGCAACUUGAGUGCAGGAGAGGGCGGUGGAACUCCAUGAGUAGCGGUAAAAUGCGUAGAUAUAUGGAAGAACACCAGUGGCGAAGGCGGCCGCCUGGCCUGUUACUGACGCUGAGGCACGAAAGCGUGGGUAGCGAACAGG
rnacentral:rRNA from 1 species